GUUGUAUUGUGUACUGUUUUCUUAGAAUUGUUCUUCUUUCGUUGCGUACUGGUCUAACCAACUUGCAAGGCUCGUAUUGAACAUGAAAUGUCAGAACACAAGCCAAGCGAAGUGAAACCGUCUCUCUCAUUUGACAAUUUGUGUCUGUUGUUGUUCAUAAAAUGUGUACAACAAUUUCAGAGCGUGUGCUUCAGUAUCAAUUUGAAGGGUGAAAAAGAUGUUUUUCGCAAAAAAUUGCUUUUAUCGCGAAUUCCGCUAUUUUCUCCCAUCAUUAUUAUUGUUCACAUAGAUCUAUUACGUUGCAGUGAAUCAAUCAAUGGCAUAAACGACGAAAGGGCAUUGAAUUCAUGAGCUCAUGCGGUUCGUGAGCGAUCCAUCGAGAUUUUUUUUUCCUACCAUUUACUGAGUGAGCCAUUCUAGCUGAAAGCAGUUUGGGGAGCGACAAAACCGAAAAAAACACCACCAACACCACCGCCACUGAUGGGAAAGCGUGGAGUUCAUUGUUGCAUUAGCAAUUGACUUUCUUACAUAUCGAGCUCAACAUCGACCUUGUCGAACAUCUCAAUUGCGACACAGUAACAAAAAGUAUAGCAUUAUGGCGACAUUUAAGGCAAUAAUUUAUAGUUUGACAAAAAAUGUACCUAGUUACGUGUUUUGCUUAAUGAACAUGUUGACCACUUAUUAAAAGGCAGAGAAAUUUUUUUUUGUCAUUGCAGAUGAAGCGGUGUGAGUGACUCUUGCAGAGAAAUCCACUGUAAUGUAAUAUCAUAACAUACGAAACGGAACGAAACUUGGUGAAAAUUGAGUUUUACGAGUAGCCGCCAACAAAACGUAAAACGGAGACGAAACGACAACACUCAUACACACCCACGAAAAAAAAAUUAUCAUCGUUUACACAGAGAAUACACUAGCGCAAUACCAAAUUCGACACAGAGUAGUAAAAUUGUUAAGUCCAAAUGUGCAGUGAGUGCACACUGCACACUGCACUCUGCAUAAACAAAUAGAGAGUUGUGGAAAAUUUUAAUUGGAAUUUAUAACAGCGUUAUUUAAUUUAAUUGUUGGCUUUAUAAAACUAAUAAAAUUAUGAGGUUGUUCAUAUUCGUCCCCA